rnacentral:lncRNA from 1 species
GGCACUCUCAAAAAACUUCUCUGGGUAGGCAAUCGUAUUCGGAUGACGAACUGCACAAAAAGGAAGCAACAGAGACAGUUAGUUUUGUCGAGUAAAGAACAGAUAAACUACGAGAUCUCUACCAAGUUCUUUAUUCCAUAAAACGCGGUAGUCGUCCCCAGGCGGUUCCUCAAAAGCAUGUUCAUCAGACUUAACGUAGAAGUAUGCGCGCUGCCAGUCCGGCGUCUUGUUUGGGUGACCAGU